GGCCGGGGCGAGGGCGAGGGAAGGGGCUUCGCGGCGGCGGAGGCGGCGGCGCAGAGGCCUUCUUUGGUAGUUUCAAGGAGGAGAAUGAUGCUGUGGAGUUUUACAAGGCGGACUUAGCGGCGAUGACCAUGAAGCAGUCUUCAGUCCUGAGGAUAGAUUAUCUGCGCAUCAAGGAAUACAGCCCCAGCCUAUCAUAUGUUUGUUUUUAAAAAACCAUGCAAAUCUGCUAAAUUGUUUGACACCCCUCAAAAAAAAAAAAAUACUGUGCUAUAUAUUGUUUACAGUUAUGCUACGAUCUUGUUAAAUUGAACACCUAGAAAUAGUCAAAUGCUGGAUUGACAAUGAUAUGUCUGUCAAUGAUACGUACCUAGUAUGGUUAUAAAGCUUUAUAUCUGGGGUUUCAUAAAACCUUAGCACUUUUGAACAACAAAAAUAAUUCACGUUUUGUUUUAUAUUGGGUCCAAAAUUUGAUUUUGUUGUUGUCUCUUAAGAGUUUGGUGUGGCUAAUUAUCUUAUUCAUUUCGUUUGUCAUGAUAAAAAGUGCCAUUGUCAAUGCAUUCAAAAGGUAUAUUCCCGCUGACAGUUACUUUCAUGGGAUAUAAAUUACUGUCAACUGCUACAAUUUUCCUAUUUUUAAAAGGUAAAAUUACUUUACUUACAAUGAAAAUUUGUCUACUGUUCCCUCAAUAUGUGAGUAUUUGACCGUUAAUAAUAAUUUCAGAAACGAAAUGCUAUUUGAAUUUCUGGUGAACCAUGGACCUUGAUGUACUAACAUAUUCGAUGUAGAAUCGAUGGGGUGGUAUAUGGUGGAUGAAAGCUUCAAACAGUCGACCUUAGUAGGCGAAGUCGGAACAGUAUGCUUAUACGUAAAGAUCUAUUUUUCCACUACCACUAGUGACGCGCCAUUCUUUUCGAACCUUUCCAAUGCCUUGCUUAAUAUCCCUACUGACGUCCCUGCUAACUUGAAAUCCAUGGAGAGAUUCAUCACAUUUAUAUACAAUCACAUUGCUUUUCUUUCUGCACUCAGCCGCUCCAAUCUCAUUUACAACCUAAUGAGAGUGUACAUGGCGCUAAGUCCCAAUGAACAAGCCAAUUUGUGGCAUGUGUUGAUCAAUAUACUCCUCUAACUCAAAAAGUGGCCGACUGGAGAUAAAAGUUGUCUAUGCAUAAGAUUUUUUAUGAUGUAUACCAGAAUCGCCCAAUGAAGGGGAGGUCGAGAAAUUUUGGGACUUUUUAUUCUUCUUCUGGAAUGGACCUGCUGAGGUAUCAAAGAAACUUCGUAGUGCAUGCUGUAGAUCAUCUGAAGGUAUGUUGUUCAAGUUUCCUAGCUUAACAGUUAAGAUAUGAUAUACAAUGUCCACAUUUAUAUUGUGCAUCAUUUUUUUAUACUCAUAUACAUAUAGUUGAUGUUUUGUCUCCUGCACCCUAUCUAUACUGUGUUUGCUCUGAUAAGGGAGCUCAUUGGUCAUCACAAGUUGGGUGUGCUAACCUACAAGAUUUUCUUUAUACCAUCCUUCGCUGCAUUUUCAGAGCGAGAUUAGCUAGAGCUGUUGCCUUAGAUCAUACAUUUCCUUUCUUUUUUGUGGUGGGGGUGGGUGGGUGGGUGUGCGUGUGUUGGGGGGGGGGUGUCUUGUGUUCAUUGAACGAUGCCUGGUGAAGGCUUCAAUUUUUCUCCUCUUUGUCUGCCAUGACCUUGCAUGUUGGCUGCAGCAAUUGGAGAGUUCGGUGUUGAGACUGGGGAUAUCUCUUGGAUUCCAGAGAGAGAUUUUAUGGGUAUUUUCUCUUGUGAAUCAAUGGCAUAAUUACCUCAUGUCCAGUUUAAUACCAUCCUUCAUCAAGGUGAUACACAUGUAGAAAAUGUGCUUUAAUACCAUGUGGGUGUGUGUGUGGGGGGGGGGGUGUCUUCGGUUCAUCGAACGAUGCCUUAGAUGUCAUAAUCUCGCUCUGAAAAUGCAGCGAAAGAUGUCAUAAAGAAAAUCUUGUAGGUUAGCACACCCAACUUGUGAUGACCAAUGAGCUCCCUUAUCAGAGCAAGCACAAUAUAGAUAGGGUGCAGGAGACAAAACAUCAAUUAUAUGUAUAUGAGCAUAAAAAAAUGAUGCACAAUAUAAAUGUGGACAUUGUAUAUCAUGUCUUAAUUCUUAAGCUUCCUAAGCUAGGAAGCUUGAACAGCAUACCUUCAGAUGGUCUACAGCAUGUACUACGAAGUUUCUUUGAUACCUCAGCAGGUCCAUUCCAGAAGAAGAAUAAAAAGUCCCAAAAUUCCUCAACCUCCCCUUCAUUGGGCGAUUCUGGUAUACAUCAUAAAAAACCGUAUGCAUAGGCACCUUUUAUCUCCAGUCGGAUUGGAGGAGUAUAUUGAUCAAUACAUGCCACAAGUUGGCUUGUUCAUUGGGACUUAGCGCCAUGUACACUCUCAUUAGGUUGUAAAUGAGAUUGGAGCGGCUGAGUGCAGGAAGAAAAGCAAUGUGAUUGUAUAUAAAUGUGAUGAAUCUCUCCAUGGAUUUCGAAGUUAGUAGGGACGUCAGUAGGGAUAUUAAGCAACGCAUUGGAAAGGUUCGAAAAGAAUGGCGGGUCACUAGUGGUAGUGGAGAAAUAGAUCUUUACGCAUAAGCAUACUGUUCCGACUUCGUCUAUCAAACUCGACUGUUUGAAGCUUUCAUCUACCAUAUACCACCCCAUCGAUCCUACAUCGAAUAUGUUAGUACAUCAAGGUCCAUGGUUCACCAAAAAUUCAAACAGCAUCUCGUUUCUGAAAUUAUUAUUAAUGGUCAAAUACUCACAUAUUAAGGGAACAGUAGACACAUUUUCAUUGUGAGUAAAGUAAUUUUACCUUUCAAAAAUAGGGAAAUUGUAGCAGUUGACAGUAAUUUCUGUCCCAUGAAGGUAACUGUCAGCGGGAAUAUACCUUUUGAAUGCAUUGACAAUGGCACUUUUUGUGAUGACAAACGAAAUGAAUAAGAUGAUUAGCCACACCAAACUCUUAAGAGACAACAACAAAGUCAAGUUUUGGACGCAACAUAAAACAAAACGUGAAUUGUUUUUGCUGUUCAAAAGUGCUAAGGCUUUAUGAAACCCCUGAUAUAAAGCUUUAUAAGCAUACUAGGUACGUAUCAUUGACAGACAUAUCAUUGUCAAUCCAACAUUUGGCUAUUUCUAAGUGUUCAAUUUAACAAGAUCAUAGCAUAGCUGUAAAUAAUAUAUAGCAUGGUACAUGUUUUUUUAGGGGGGGUGUCAAACAAUUUGGCAGAUUUACAUGGGGGUGGUUGCUGUUGACAUGAACUCAAACAAGUUGCAAGCAGUAUCCAGUUUUUGUGGAGCGACCUUGCCUUGGUUCUCGACAGCAUACUAUCCAAGCUCGUUUACAAAGUAUCUCAACAACAGCGGCCCAGAAAUUGAGCUAAAUGCCCAAACCUCUGAUGGUCUAGCAAGCACUGAUACGGAGGACUCCUCCAUCGAUGAUUAGACAUUUCUGGAUAUCCCAAGCCUCGUAAGGGCGAAAUUGAAGAUACUUUCGUAUGGCAUGCUGUGAUGGAUGGAUUGUGGCUUCCGUGGGACUUGGCCCGGUGGCCACCUGUCUAAUAAGAAGUGAAUGUGCAUCUUUAUUAUAGCGAAUGCUUUCCUUUGCAGAAAUGUUUCCAUGUUUGUUUUGUUUUACUAGCUGGUAUUUCUAUGUGAAUCCAUGACGCUGUUGCGAAAACUCGAGAGAUCAUUAUCAGUUA